rnacentral:lncRNA from 1 species
UAGCUUAGAGGGUACUGCUUUGGUUGGAGAAUCAAGCGCCAUUGUGUUGGCGUGGGCGGGAGCCUCGACUUCCUGAUCGGCGGAUGGAGGUAGGAGCACCGUAGGCAAAGGGUCUGACUCUGAGUACGACCUGGACCCUGAAGACAUCCGCAUGCUUUAGGACGACCAUACCCGCACAAUGGUGCAUGCAGAAGGGUAGUUCUGUUACGAUAAGAUCCUUAUAGAUCAGAAAUUGCUGCUUCAAGAGGAAAAUUUGGUGCCGUUGUUCGAGGUUUUAUGCUUGGAGGUGGAAAGCACAUCGCUGUGGGGCAUCUCAGACAUCAUGCUGAAGGGAGAGACGACCGCGCAGGGCCUGAAAGUAUGUGUAGUGACUUUUUAGUUUUUCUCUUUGUUUCACUUGGUUGAUUUUUUGUUCUGACUAUUGCUUCGUUCUUGUAGCUAUUUUGUUAGUGGUGGAGAGCAUCCACCGAGCUAACGUCCAUUCAGGGAUUUUCUCUCGGGCGCUGGAAAAGUACCGUCGCUACCGGGACCGGUACAGCGAUAUGCGUGAGUGCAAGAGGAACGAUCCUCAGAAUUGAG